GCGUUCAUUAGCGAGUGGGAAACUUCAACAUGGCCGCCAUCUAUUCAAAUGGGGGUAACCGCUGGAAUAUUCUUGGCUUCAAUUUUACUAAAAGAGAUGCGCUAUCUAUAGUGUAUAUAAGAUAUCUAUGACAUGCAGGACCAUUCUCAAAAUCAAUUUUGUAAGAAUGCCUCCUGAAUAAAGAUUGUUAUCACCAAAAUUGUCUAUAAUCUUCGGCUUGAAAUUCCCAUCAACAAAAAUCCUUCAAGUGUAAGUUAUAUAGAGCGAAAUGCUCAAAAAAGUCUUGAUAUUUCCCCGGCCAUAGAUCGCUCUCAGCUUGAAUUGCAAGCAGACUACGAAUGGGUGAGCUUCACUCCUAAAUAUCAAUAGGAACAAGCAUGUUACUGAUGGAGGUGGCAACAGCGCUUGACGUCGCUAAGUUUCGCUGCUACGUUUCUCAGCGUGCCUGGGGUCAAAGUGAUUUCAAUCAUGCCAGGCUUCGGAAAUAUUCAGGAUAAACAGGUGAUCAAUUAUGGAUUAUUUAUAACAGUCAAGUUUGCGUCGUAAAGAAACGCCGAAUUGAAUAAACAGCCGUAGGAAAGAGGAAUGUUUGAAAUGUGCUGCACGUUAGUUGCACAGCGGUAUCAUUCCUGUUCUUGUUGGUGUCUUAGAAAAAACUGUUCGCCUUAAAGCUAAUUUCCACUCAGGAAAACUAUCCGUGCAUUGGAACGGACAAGAAAGUUUUUUUCUGUUAAAGUCAUU